rnacentral:tRNA from 1 species
GGUUUUGUGGUCUAGUUGGUUAUGGCAUCUGCUUAACACGCAGAACGUCCNGAUCCUGGGCNN